rnacentral:rRNA from 1 species
CAGUAGCCGCGGGAAAACGUAGGGUGCAAGCGUUAAUCGGAAUUACUGGGCGUAAAGCGUGCGCAGGCGGUUUGUUAAGACAGAUGUGAAAUCCCCGGGCUCAACCUGGGAACUGCAUUUGUGACUGGCAAGCUAGAGUGUGGCAGAGGGGGGUGGAAUUCCGCGUGUAGCAGUGAAAUGCGUAGAUAUGCGGAGGAACACCGAUGGCGAAGGCAGCCCCCUGGGCCAACACUGACGCUCAUGCACGAAAGCGUGGGGAGCAAACAGGAUUAGAUACCCCUGUAGUCCCUGUCUCUUAUAC